rnacentral:rRNA from 1 species
UACGGAGGGGGCAAGCGUUGUCCGGAAUUAUUGGGCGUAAAGCGCGCGCAGGCGGCUUUGUAAGUCUGGUGUUUAAACCUAGGGCUCAACCCUGGGUCGCAUUGGAAACUGCAAGGCUUGAGUGCAGAAGAGGAGAGUGGAAUUCCACGUGUAGCGGUGAAAUGCGUAGAGAUGUGGAGGAACACCAGUGGCGAAGGCGACUCUCUGGGCUGUAACUGACGCUGAGGCGCGAAAGCGUGGGGAGCAAACAGG